rnacentral:sRNA from 1 species
UGAUUGAAACAGACUAUAUUGCAGUAAACUUACCUUUUGAUUGAAACAGACUAUAUUGCAGUAAACUUACCUUUUGAUUGAAACAGACUAUAUUGCAGUAAACUUACCUUUUGAUUGAAACAGACUUUAAUGCAGUAAUCGUACCUUUUGAUUGAUUACCUUUUGAUUGGAAGUCAGUUGACCUUUUGCUAACAUCAAAGAACGCUAACGCACUGUUCUUUUUCCUUGGUCCUAGUAGAAUAACAAUCAGCUGAUUAAUUGUAUGUGGUGAUAGUUUAAUUUUAUAUAUUUAUAUAUAAUGAAUACAGUAUUUUUAAAUUUAAAUAAUAACUUUGCCAGAUUUCUUUCCAAACUAAAGGCAGAUUAUAAGCUAGAGGAUAAUUUUAUUUUUUUUUAACUUCACGAUUUCUUACUAAAGUUUGUGUAUGUUGGUCAGAGAGUAUCGAAAUGUUGUAGUCAUUUUGUUUAGAUGUAUAGAUUUAGAUAUAGGUUAUUUGCGACAUCAAUAGGUCGAGAAUAGCUCUAGGUUAUUUGCGACAUCAAUAUGUCUAGAAUAGCUCUAGGUUAUUUGCGACAUCAAUAGGUCGAGAAUAGCUCUAGGUUAUUUGCGACAUCAAUAGGUCUAGAAUAGCCCUAGGUUAUUUGCGACAUCAAUAUGUUGAGAAUAGCUAUAGGUUAUUUGCGACAUCAAUAGAUUAUGAUCUAGUUUAUUUGCGACAUCAGUAGAUCUAGGUGUAGGUUAUUUGCGACACCAAUAGGUCUAGAAUAGCUCUAGUUUAUUUGCGACAUCAAUAGAUUAAGAUCUAGUUUAUUUGCGACAUCAAUAGAUUAAGAUCUAGUUUAUUUGCGACAUCAAUAGAUUAAGAUCUAGUUUAUUUGCGACAUCAGUAGAUGUAGGUGUAGGUUAUUUGCGACAUCAAUAGAGCUAUGUGAAAACGCUCUCAACUUAAGUAGCGAUGGGUAUGAUUAUCAAAAGUUAAUAAACAAAAUAAUUUCUGUCCCGUAAGUCUGGCUAUAUAUGUUUUGUAUAGAUUUCAAUUUAGAUUUUUAAAAUUCCAAUCUUAACACAUUUGUUAUAUAUGUCAAGCUUAUAUAGGACAAUCAUUUAAGAUAUGUUGUAUUUGGAUGUAGGAACGAUGUCAUAAUUACGACUAGCUAGGUAAAGGUACUCUUUAUACUCAGUGGCGUCGCUGGGAUGGGGGGUCCAAUUUUGAAAAUCUUCCCGGGCCCCCACCUGAGGGGGCUCCCAAAUGAGGGCCCGAAAUGUGUUUUUACAUUAAAUAUUACGUCGUUAUCUCAAGACCUGAUGUUGAAUUUCAAAAUGCAGGGGCCCAUAGAGAAGUCAAGCCCACUUCCCGGGCCACCAAAUCAUUAACUACGCCACUGUUUUGACUUUUCGAUAUUAAUUUAUGAUGUAGCUGCUGUUUGUUUGGAUUUAUUGUUGUCAUUAUAUGACACAAUGUUAUUAUUAUUAUUUAUGUCGCUGGCCCUUUGUUUUCCUUGACUCGCUAUGUCUUUAAUGUUAUAAAUAUUUUUCCUUUUCAAUGGAUGACUAUGUACUUUAUUUUGAAUCUCAGGAUUUAAUUUGAUUUUCGUAUUUAAUUUUUUGUUUUAAUGGGUAAGUACGAUGAUUGUCCGAAAGAAAUAAUCAUCUCCCCUUGACCGUAUUGAGGGAAGACAGACAUAGUCUCCAAAUGAUUUCCCUUUUAUGUUUAAUGUUUUCAAUAAAUUGUUUAUCAUUGAACAAGUCA